rfam:Phaseolus vulgaris cultivar G19833 chromosome 8, whole genome shotgun sequence.
AACCCAUGAUUUGGGUAUUUUCUCAAUAUCAUCUUGAAUCUUUCCCAUGUCUCACAAAAAGACUCAUCUGUUCCUUGUCUGAACAUAGAUAUUUCAGACUUAACUUU